rfam:Picea glauca, whole genome shotgun sequence.
UGACCCUAUCUCAGGCGAGAACACCCACUGAGUUUAAGCAUAUAAUUAAGUGAAGGAAAAGAAAAUUACAAGGAUUCCCAUAGUAACAGUUAACGAACCGGGAAGAUACCAGCAUGAAAAUCAGUUGGUAGAGUUUCCUGAAUUGUAGUCUAUAGAAUCAUCCUUAGCAAUGGAUUGGGCCCAAGUGCCCUGGAAGGGGGCACUUCAGAGGGUGAUAGCCCCGUCGGUUCAAGACCCUGCCACACCAUGAGGUAUUGUCGAUGAUUCAGGUUGUUUAGGAAUGCAGUCUUAAUCAGGUGGUAAAUUCCAUCCAAGGAUAAAUACGGGUGAGAGACCGAUAAUGAACAAGUAUCAUGAGGGAAAUAUGAAAAGGAAUUUGAAAAGUGAGUUAAAGAGUGCUUGAAAUUGUUAGGAGGGAAGAAAACAGAGGCCAACGAUGUGUCUCAGUUGGAUGUGAAACGACUCAAUUCAUUCCACUGUUCGACUCGAGGUGUGAACCAGCACAUGUUGUUGCAUCGACACAAGAACGGGUGGAGUACUACAUGUUGGUUUGUCAUUGUGAUGGUCAAGGAAUGAAGUUUUCACUCUUGGGGUGGUCCAUUGUGCACCUACAUUCUCAUGGUCUUGGUUGGCGGGCUUUCCAUUUGACCCAUCUUGAAAUAAGGAAAAAGGAUUCUAACAUGUGUGUGAGUCAGUGGGUUUGUAAACCUACGAGGUGUAAGGAAGCUGACGGGCGAGAUCCCCUCUCCAUGGGGUAAAUUUUCAAUCGAACUUGAGCUUGUGUGAAGGGAUCAAGUGCGAGAACACCUAUUGGGACCUAAAACAUGGUGAACUAUGCCUAAGCAGAGCGAAGCCAGAAGAAAAUAUGGUGGAGGCCCUUAGUUAUACUAAUGUGAAAAUAAUUUGUCUGCCUUGGGUAUAGGGGUGAAAUACUAAUCAAACCAUCUAGUAGUUUGUUUCCUCUGAAUUUUCUGUCAGGAUAGUUGUAGCUCACAUGUGAGUUUUAUUGAGUAAAGAAAUUAUUAUAGGAAUCGGGGGCGUAAUGCCCUUAAGAUAUUCUCAAACUUUAAAUAGGUAAGGCGAUGUGGCUACUCCAUUGAUUCAUGCCAUGAAAUCAAGAGCCCCAAGUGGGCCAUUUUUGGUAAGCAAAAUUGGCAAUGUAGGACGAACCGAAAAUUGAGUUACGGUACCAAACUUUUCGCUAAACCAGAUCCCAUAAAGAGUGUUGGUUGAUUAAGAUAGCAUGAUGGUGUUCAUUAGAGUCAAAAUUUUAUAAGGAGUGUGUAAACUCACCUAUCGAAUCAAAUAGCCCUAAAAAUGGGUGGUGUUGAAGCGCGCGACCUUUACUCGAUCAUCAGAUAAAUUUCCAGACUUCGAUGAGUAGGAGGACACAUGGGUCGUUGAGAAACCUUGGGUUUGAGCUUGGGUGGACCAGCCCCCGGUGCAGAUCUUGAUGUUAGUAGAAAAUAUUCAAAUGAGAACUUUGAAGACUGAAGUGGGGAAAGGUUCCAUGUGAAAAAUACUUAUAAAUCAGUUAUUCAAUCCUAAGAGAUGGGGAAACUCUGUAUCAAGGGUGCACUCUACACAAACAUAGAAAGGGAAUUGUAUGAAUAUUCCCGAACUAGGACAUGGCGGUCAAUGAAAAUGUUAGGAAAUUUGGAGACGUUGCCAGGGGCCCUAGGAAUAGUUAUCUUUUGUUUUUAACAGCUUUCCCACUCUGAAAUAGGCUCAAUUGGAGAUACGGUCUAGCAGUAGGAAGAUAAAUGCACGUCUUGUGGUGUCCUGUGUGCCCUCGAUAGCCCUUGAAAAUAUGGAUGACUAAUUACCAUCCAUGCCUGGUCAUACUCAUAACUGCAUUAGGUCUCUAAGGUGAAUAGCCUCUAGUCAAUAGAACAAUUUAGGUAAGGGAAGUCGGCAAAACGGAUCUGUAACUUCGAGAAAAUAAUUGGCUUUGAGGGAUGGGUAUAGGGGUCUACGUCCUCAACCUGUGGGUUGUCGAUAUUAUUCCUGAGCACUUAUUUUGGGGAGGGUAGGAAGUCACAUGUUGAUUGGGAUAUGGACAUAGAAUGCCCCCUCAUAGAGUAUUUUCCCUAGGAAGUGAACAUUCGAAUAAGAACUUGUAUGGACAAGGGGAAUCUAGAUGUUUAAUUAAAAAAAAUCAUUGCAAUGGUCCCUACGGUUGCUGACACAAUGUGAUUCCUACCCAACACUCUGAAUGUCAAAGUGAAUAAAUUCAACCAAGAGAGGGUAAAUGGCAGGAGUAACUAUGACUCUCUUAAGGUGGCCAAAUGCCUUAUCAUUUAAUCAGUGAUGCACAUGAAUGGAUUAACAUGAUUCCCACUGUCCCUAUCUACUAUCUAGUAAAACCACAACUAAGGGAAUAGGCUUGGUAGAAUCAGUGGGGAAAGAAGACUCUGUUGAGCUUGACUCCAAUCCGAAUUUGUGAAAUGACUUGAUAGGUGUAGAAUAAGUGGGAUCCAUUUUUGGUGCAAGUAAAAUAACACUACUUUUAAUGUUAUUUUAAUUAUUCUGUGGGGCAAAGAUGGGGCAUCGCCCUGAUUUUUUUCCUUAAGACACGUUUUAGUGGGUCGAUCCAGGCAAAAGACAUUGUUAGGUGGGGAGUUUGGCUGGGGAGACACAAUUGCUAAAAGAUAAUGUGGGUGUCCUAAGAUGAGUUGAAGGAGAACAUAAAUCUCAUGUGGAACAAAAGGGCAAAAGCUCAUUUGAUUUUGAUUUUCAGUAUGAAUACAAACUGUGAAAGUGUGGCCUAUCGAUCCCUUAGACUUUGUAAUUUGAAUCUAGAGGUGUUAGAAAAUUUACCAUGGGGAUAAAUGGAUUGUGGAAGCCAAGCGUUCAUAGUGGCAUUUCUUUUUUAUCCUUUGAUGUCAGCUCUUCCCAUCAUUGUGAAGCAAAAUUCACCAAGUGUUGGAUUGUUCACCCACCAAUAGGGAACGUGAGCUAGGUUUAGACCAUCAUGAGAUAGGCUAGUUUUACCCUACUAAUGAACCACGUUGCAAUAGUAAUUCAAAUUAGUAUGAGAGGAACCGUUGAUUCACACAAUUGGUCAUCGCAUUUGGUUGAAAAUCCGGUGGCGUGAAGCUACCAUGUGUCAAUUAUGACUGAACGCCUCUAAGUCAAAAUCCAUGCUAGAAGUGGAACUUGUCACUCCUUGAUUAUGUCUUAAACUAUUGUAGGGGCAUCACUUAGACACCCCCAGUAUCCUAUGUCACUUUUGAACCUCAACUAAGAAGCGUCUCGAUCGAGGCAGCUUUGAAGUUCAAUUUCAAAUAGUCGUUGAAAAGAAUCCUUUACAGAUGACUUAAAUACACGACGAGGUAUUGUAAGUGGUGGAGUGGCCUUGCUUCCAUGAUCCAAUGAGAUUCAAACCUUUGUCACCUUGAUUCAG